rnacentral:lncRNA from 1 species
AUGUGUGCUCAGGAGGAGAGGCAGUGCCAGGCUGGAGUCAAUGGUUAUGGCAGUCAGAGCUUUUGGGUGAUGGUGGGCUGGGCAUUUUCCCAUCGCACGUUGGUUGUAUGUGGGAUGGAGAGGAGCUGGCGGCUGCUUUACCUUUCUUGGCCUGGACAAGAGGUAGCAAUGGGACUCGUGGGGGUCUGCAGCGUUGCCCGGGUGGUGGUUUGGGUGCAAACUCCCGACGAAACCUGGGAAAGACGACGACUCGGCCAGAGAGUGUCAGGGAGGCAACCGCUGUCACCGGGGUCACCACCAUGUCCAGCAGCCAGGGCGCCUGCAGGGGAGGAACAGGGAGGAUGUGGGACGUCCUGGUCACGGCUGAGGCACUGGAGGCUGCUGGAGGAGCCCAAGGCCGGCAGAGCUGGCAGCACCGCAGCACUUGCAUGGCCGAGCAGCAGGCCAGGUCCUGGAGAGCCACGUGCAGGCAGCGCAAGGGCCGUGGAGAAACCAAAACCUCACCUUGAAAACAACCUUCUCGAGUUUCUCUUUCCCGCAGAUCUUCUCAAGGAAGUCAUAGUAGAACUUCAUUUGGACCCUCGCUCUCUCGAUGAGGAGCACUCCGAUGUCCUUCAGGACAAAGGCGAUGUCCUCCCCCUUCCUCAGGCACUGGGAGACGAGCGUUGUGGUGCCCAAAUAUGCAGGCCUUCCCAGUCUGCCAGCUCACAGAUGCGGCCUCAGCCACAUCAGCGUAUUUGAGGGUCUCCAUUUUAUUGAGGCCUGGAAAUCACACCAGAAUGUCAGAGUCCAUCACGCGGUGGCUCUUCCAGCACUGCCUCCCAAGUGCUACUCAUUGCAGUCGCCAGCCAGGACAAGCUCAUGUUUGGACGGGCUCCGUGAAGGGGGAGGUUUGAUUUCAGAAUGGAGGCUGUAGCCCCGUUUGUCCUGUCUGGGCAGCCAGAAAGGGUUGAAGCCCCCUCCUACCUGGCGGGUAUUCCUCGUUCAUCUGGUCAUGGAUGCUCGCAAGGUUCUUGGCCAGGUGAAACACAGGCCACUGCAUGGUCAUGUUUCCUUUCCAACUCUGAUCCGUUCAGAGACAAUGCUGAAGGAACCGAAGGUGGGAACUCGGACCCCUGUGCAUGGAAAGAGAAGGGAAGGGCCAAAGGGUUAAGGCUGGAGGAAGAGCUGAAGGCUGCCCUGUGUGGGGACUGUGCUUUUGGACUGGGUUCAGCCCCAGCACACUACAGCACACAGCACAAGUCAUAGCCCGUAUGCACAAGGCCCACUGGUACUUUACAGGGAUUUGGGGCCAAGUUCCCUGCUUUCUGCGGAGGGGAAGUCACUGCCUUCUGUGGCCAAACGCAAAGGACUCUGCAGCCCUCCAAACAGGCCAGCAGGAAGAAGGCGUUGACCCACCUUGCGUAGCAGGAGCUGCUCUUGUAUGUGCGUGGCCACCGCAUCCCAGACAGCAAGUCGCUCUGGAGGGCAGAGGAAAAGCAGGUCACACUCUGCAUCUGCCGCUUCCCAAGGGCGCUUCUCUCAGCCCGGGACGGAGGUGGCAGAUGGAAAGUGUCGGCACCGUCCCCAGCACUGAGACGAUCCCAUGCUGUGUCAGGCCCGCUCAGCGCCAGCACUUGGAGGCAGCUCUGCUCCAGUGGUGGCUGCAGACCCACGUACCUUUGGCGGUGACCUCUGGCGUUUUGUAGUCACGCUGUGGAGCAGGGCCAUCCUGCCAGAAUCUCAUCUUGGCCCGCUUCAC